rnacentral:rRNA from 1 species
CAGCAGCCGCCGCGGUAAUACAGAGGGUGCGAGCGUUAAUCGGAUUUACUGGGCGUAAAGCGUGCGUAGGCGGCUAAUUGAGUCGGAUGUGAAAUCCACGAGCUUAACUUGGGAAUUGCAUUCGAUACUGGUUAGCUAGAGUGUGGGAGAGGAUGGUAGAAUUCCAGGUGUAGCGGUGAAAUGCGUAGAGAUCUGGAGGAAUACCGAUGGCGAAGGCAGCCAUCUGGCCUAACACUGACGCUGAGGUACGAAAGCAUGGGGAGCAAACAGGAUUAGAGACCCCAGUAGUCCCUGUCUCUUAUAA